CAGCCGCCGCGGUAAUACGGAGGAUGCAAGCGUUAUCCGGAAUUAUUGGGCGUAAAGCGUCCGCAGGUGGUUAGUCAAGUCAGCUGUUAAAUACUCAGGCUUAACUUGGGAUAUGCAGUUGAAAUUGAUUGACUAGAGUACGGUAGGGGUAGAGGGAAUUCCUAGUGUAGCGGUGAAAUGCGUAGAUAUUAGGAAGAACACCAGUGGCGAAGGCGCUCUACUGGGCCUGUACUGACACUGAGGGACGAAAGCUAGGGGAGCGAAAGGGAUUAGAUACCCCUGUAGUCCUAGCUGUAAACGAUGGAUACUAGGUGUUGGACGUAUCGACCCGUUCAGUAUCGUAGCUAACGCGUUAAGUAUCCCGCCUGGGGAGUACGCACGCAAGUGUGAAACUCAAAGGAAUUGACGGGGGCCCGCACAAGCGGUGGAGUAUGUGGUUUAAUUCGAUGCAACGCGAAGAACCUUACCAGGGUUUGACAUCCUACGAACAUUCCAGAGAUGGAUUGGUGCCUUCGGGAACGUAGAGACAGGUGGUGCAUGGCUGUCGUCAGCUCGUGUCGUGAGAUGUUGGGUUAAGUCCCGCAACGAGCACAACCCACGUUUUUAGUUGCCAUCAUUCAGUUGGGCACUCUAGAGAGACUGCCGGUGACAAACCGGAGGAAGGUGUGGACGACGUCAAGUCAUCAUGCCCCUUACACCCUGGGCUACACACGUACUACAAUGCAACGGACAAAGGGCAGCUAGCCAGUGAUGGUAUGCAAAUCUCAUAAACCGUUGCACAGUUCAGAUUGUAGGCUGCAACUCGCCUACAUGAAGGAGGAAUCGCUAGUAAUCGCAGGUCAGCAUACUGCGGUGAAUACGUUCCCGGGCCUUGUACACACCGCCCGUCACACCAUGGAAGUUGGUUUCGCCCGAAGCCGUUACUCCAACCAUUCGUGGAGGAGGACGUCGAAGGCAGGGCUGAUGACUGGGGUGAAGUCGUAACAAGGUAACCGUA
rnacentral:rRNA from 1 species